rnacentral:tRNA from 1 species
AUUAAUAUAGUGUAUUAUCACAUCAUUAUUUCAUGAUGAAAAUGUAGUUUUUUUUAUCUUCAAUA